rnacentral:rRNA from 1 species
AGCAGUCGCCGCGGGAAUACGUAGGUCCCGAGCGUUGUCCGGAUUUAUUGGACGUAAAGCGAGCGCAGGCGGUUAGAUAAGUCUGAAGUUAAAGGCUGUGGCUUAACCAUAGUACGCUUUGGAAACUGUUUAACUUGAGUGCAAGAGGGGAGAGUGGAAUUCCAUGUGUAGCGGUGAAAUGCGUAGAUAUAUGGAGGAACACCGGUGGCGAAAGCGGCUCUCUGGCUUGUAACUGACGCUGAGGCCCGAAAGCGUGGGGAGCAAACAGGAUUAGAUACCCCCGUAGUCCCUGUCUCUUAUACA